rnacentral:lncRNA from 1 species
ACCAGGGAUCACGACAGAUUAGGAGCGAGAGGCUUUGACUGGAUGCUCCUCGCCCUCUUGGAUGAAGACCCCCUGUCCGAGGAGCUCAUCUUUUUCUUUACCGUCAAUUUGAUGGAUGAUAGAGACGGCUUCAUUGCUUUAAGAUUAAAAAAAAAAUUUCUCUGAUGGCUACAGCGAUAAAAGAGCAACUGACAAUUGGAUGGUAGAAAAUCUAACUGGAUGGUGGUCU